rnacentral:lncRNA from 1 species
GAGAAUUCCUGUGGGAAUCUCCUCACAGAGGAGCCUCACAGCCAGCACCUGCACACAAACACCCAGUCCACGGCUUGGCUAAAACAUUUGACCCUUUAUUCCUAAACACGACAGAAAUUUAAGAGUGAGGGGAGAGCAAGAGAGCCGAGUACCGGCGGCUGCCAGGAGCAAGGCCCCACAGGCCCCCACCUCCCCAUCCUGUGCUUGAUGAUGGUGAUGAUGAGAGGCCCAGUGCAAUUAGAAGGAACAUCUUUGCUUUGUGGGAUCUGACACUGCUUUUAAAGGAUGAUUUUUACAGGUGAAGGAGCUUCCCAUGGGGUUGUGCUUCCCUCUUUG